GCUUAUGACCACACCGGCCUGAGUACACCUGAUCUCGUCUGAUCUCGGAAGCUAAUCAGUGUCGGGCCUGGUUAGUACUUGGAUGGGAGACCGCCUAGGAAUACCAGGUGCUGUAAGCA
rnacentral:rRNA from 1 species